AUUGAACGCUGGCGGCAGGCUUAACACAUGCAAGUCGAGCGGGGUGAUGGUGCUUGCACUAUCACUUAGCGGCGGACGGGUGAGUAAUGCUUAGGAAUCUGCCUAUUAGUGGGGGACAACAUCUCGAAAGGGAUGCUAAUACCGCAUACGUCCUACGGGAGAAAGCAGGGGAUCACUUGUGACCUUGCGCUAAUAGAUGAGCCUAAGUCGGAUUAGCUAGUUGGUGGGGUAAAGGCCUACCAAGGCGACGAUCUGUAGCGGGUCUGAGAGGAUGAUCCGCCACACUGGGACUGAGACACGGCCCGGACUCCUACGGGAGGCAGCAGUGGGGAAUAUUGGACAAUGGGGGGAACCCUGAUCCAGCCAUGGCGCGUGUGUGAAGAAGGCCUUAUGGUUGUAAAGCACUUUAAGCGAGGAGGAGGCUCUUUUGGUUAAUACCCAAGAUGAGUGGACAUUACUCGCAGAAUAAGCACCGGCUAACUCUGUGCCAGCCGCCGCGGUAA
rnacentral:rRNA from 1 species